AAGUUCAAGCAUAAGAGGGUUCCCAAGGCUUCUGGAUCCCCACCUGUGCCAGUCAUGCACUCCCCACCUAGGCCUGUGACUGUGAAAGAUCAACAGGAUUGGAAAAUCCCUCCUUGUAUCUCAAAUUGGAAGAACCCUAAGGGUUACACAAUUCCUCUUGAUAAGCGUCUAGCAGCUGAUGGAAGAGGUCUGCAGGAUGUUCAGAUUAAUGAUAAUUUUGCAAAGCUAUCAGAGGC
rnacentral:misc_RNA from 1 species